rnacentral:rRNA from 1 species
UGCUGGAGGUAUCAGAAGUGCGAAUGCUGACAUAAGUAACGAUAAAGCGGGUGAAAAGCCCGCUCGCCGGAAGACCAAGGGUUCCUGUCCAACGUUAAUCGGGGCAGGGUGAGUCGACCCCUAAGGCGAGGCCGAAAGGCGUAGUCGAUGGGAAACGGGUUAAUAUUCCCGUACUUGGUGUUACUGCGAAGGGGGGACGGAGAAGGCUAUGUUGGCCGGGCGACGGUUGUCCCGGUUUAAGCGUGUAGGUGUGUGUUCCAGGUAAAUCCGGUUCACUUUAACACUGAGGCGUGACGACGAGGCACUACGGUGCUGAAGCAACAAAUGCCCUGCUUCCAGGAAAAGCCUCUAAGCAUCAGGUAACAUCAAAUCGUACCCCAAACCGACACAGGUGGUCAGGUAGAGAAUACCAAGGCGCUUGAGAGAACUCGGGUGAAGGAACUAGGCAAAAUGGUGCCGUAACUUCGGGAGAAGGCACGCUGACACGUAGGUGAAGUGAUUUACUCAUGGAGCUGAAGUCAGUCGAAGAUACCAGCUGGCUGCAACUGUUUAUUAAAAACACAGCACUGUGCAAACACGAAAGUGGACGUAUACGGUGUGACGCCUGCCCGGUGCCGGAAGGUUAAUUGAUGGGGUCAGCGCAAGCGAAGCUCCUGAUCGAAGCCCCGGUAAACGGCGGCCGUAACUAUAACGGUCCUAAGGUAGCGAAAUUCCUUGUCGGGUAAGUUCCGACCUGCACGAAUGGCGUAAUGAUGGCCAGGCUGUCUCCACCCGAGACUCAGUGAAAUUGAACUCGCUGUGAAGAUGCAGUGUACCCGCGGCAAGACGGAAAGACCCCGUGAACCUUUACUAUAGCUUGACACUGAACAUUGAGCCUUGAUGUGUAGGAUAGGUGGGAGGCUUUGAAGUGUGGACGCCAGUCUGCAUGGAGCCG